AUAAUACCCCUUUGGCUGAAAGGGCAAGCAUGUUUGGUGUAAUGGGGAUUUAGACCCUCAAAUUGCAAGGCAAGCACCCUAACCACCUGGCCAGGCCCAUUACAUGUUGUGUUUUCCCCAUCCCUACAAAAGUAAAGUAAUAUGCAUCAGGUAAUCAACUUCGUUUUGAUAUAAUUACUGUUCUUUGAAGUUAUGGAUUUUACCAUAGGCACAUGAGCAUUUUUUUCUUCAACUCAACUUCAGUGCUUUUAAUAUUUAUAAGUAGAAAUGUAAGAAAAGUAUAUUUAAUUGGAUAUACUGAUAGCCAAGCUGAUGUUUAGUUUCAGUCCAAGUACAUAGCUUGCUCCGAUUUUAAUAUUAAUCAAUAAAAUUUUGUCAAAGGACUUUUAUAAUCAAUGGAUAUAGGCAAAUAUAAAAGGAAAAGUCAACCUCCUCAUUUUGUCAGAUAUACUGCCUCAGUACAAAUGUGUUUGUAUCAUUAUGUUUAACUCAGUCUUCAAACCUCUAAUACUUUUCCAGAGAAUGUAGCCAAUUAAAAUUCCAACAGAUACCUGCAGAUUUCAGUGAGGAGAUAUACAACAUUUUCUAACUAAAUUAUUUCUCUCAGUUUUUUCAAGGGACUUUACUAAAUAUGGCAGGUAUGUUACCUAAGUAAUACAUGCACAUAGGUGUUAACCUAUAUGUUUCUUCAACAAAAAGUUUGCCCUGUCCCACUAAAUAUGAUGAUGUUGUGCCUUUAGGUCAUAAUGAUGCUUAAUGAUAUAGUUUACACAAACCAUUCUUGGUCAGAUUAUAAGAACUGACUGUUUAUUGUUCAAUAAGUUAACGUUAGCCUUGAGGGAAAUGAUUGAAGUGACAGUAGGACAUAACUGUUUUAAACAAUUACUUGUGCAUAAACUAUCAUUCCAUACGUGUACAAGUAGGAAAAUAUCCUGCUUUUUAAAGAACUACAUUUAUUGUAUGAUCAGGACUCUUCUUUAUGUCGUGCAGCCUAAUCCUGAACAGGAUACAGUAUUUUGCAACAACAAAAUUGUACAUCAGAAUAUAACAAAACUAUAAGCAACUUCGGUUAAUGUGUUUCACUUGUAUCAAUGAAAAACCUAAACCAUCCCUUACUACUGUACUAGUUUACUUUUUGCAUGCAUCUAAUAAAAAAGUUGGUUUAAAAGAUUUACGUUAAGACUUUCCAUUCCAUAAUCUACACAGUAAAGUGUAAUUUUAUCCAUGGAGCACAUCCAAGCUUGUUUUGAUAAACACUACACUGUAGUAAUGACAGAAAAUUUGUCUCAUUACUGUUCCUUACUUUUAUAACGUAAUACAGGACCCUACAUCAACAAACUUAGAUUUUCACAAUGGGAGGGAAAUCUACUGUGAAGAUGGUUUCCAUCUGUGUAUAGAAAACGACGGUUUUAUAAAGGAGUUGCCGAACCACUGGAUAGAAAACAAAAGUAAUCCAGAACGAGCAGAUAGUCAGUCUACGUGUUUGUACUGUCAUCACACAUUCUAUGACAAAUACUCUCUGCUACGACACAUGCAACGCCACCUGGUGAACAGAAAGAGAUACCUGUGUCACCUUUGUAAUAGUACUUAUUGUAGAAAAGAUUAUCUUAAAAAGCACAUUGAACUGGUUCACGGAAACUAUUGAGUUUUGUUUAGUACAAAAUUUGUAUACCAUUUUCUUCUUUAUUUCAAUAAAUUAUCCCGAAAAA
rnacentral:lncRNA from 1 species